AGCAUAUUGAGUUCCUCUAAUAUGUCUUACCCAUUACAGGUCUUUUGAGAAGCAUUACAACAUAGAGAGCUAGGAGGAAACCUCUGUUGCCAGGCUGUGUUUCGAUCCUGGCUCUACUGAGCCACAUGACCUUGGGCCAGCCAGCAGUCACUCUGGAAAGGGAAAAAUGUGCUUUAUAAAGUGGAGCACUGUGCUUAGUGAGGGAAACUCAGAUGCGCUGCUGUAGAUGCUUCUUUCCUUCUAAUAUGCUUACUCUCUGCCUCAGUUUCCACAUCAGUAAAUUAAGGAGGCUAAUAAUCCCUAUGUGAUAAGGUUAUGCAGAAGAUUAGAGGAGUUAAUAAUUCACAUAAAGCAUGUAAAAAAACAGUUCCUAGCACAUAGAAAGCACUAUAUGUAAUGGUUUGUUUUGUCCCUACUUUGAUCACUUAUUUUAAAAUACAGCAUGUGCAAUACAUUUUGUACAGUAUGAAAGGCAAAAAUAUUAAGUGACUUUUUGGGGUCAAGUUUUGAGACCAGUCCCAAGAUAUUUGUGGCAUUAGCAUCUAAAAUCUCUUUCAUAUUCUCUACAACUUUUCCAAACAUACUUAGUUUGCAAAAUCAGAUUGGACAUUGUACAGGAAUAGCUUUUCUCAUAAUAUUCCAGUACUUUUAGUUCUAUUCCAGCUGGAGCUGGAAAUACUGUUGCAUGCAGAAAUUUAAAAGUAUGUGAAAACAACAUGAUCCCAAUCUUAUUUUUUUACUCAUUUUCAGGAAAAUUGAUGGUUCACAUGUGAAAUAUAAGCAAAAUUGCUAGUUAUUUGCUAUCACCAGAGUAAAAAUUAGUCACCUUCCACCAUCUUGGGAGCUAUUCUGGUGUGUGGUUGUAAAAGAAAAACUAGAAAAAUUAUUAAAAAUAUGAUGUAUUUAAUCAUUGACCCUUUAAAUAUCAGUUGUGUACUCUCUUAUGUCAGGCAGUAUUCUAGAAAAAGGACUCACAGCCUAUGUCCUGCAGAGGAAGCUUACUUACAGGUGUGAGGAGACAGAAAAAUAAGUAAACAAAUAAAAUAAUUACAGAUUUUAUGGUGGGAAUUAUGGAAGAAAUGUACAGGGUGAUAGCUACUAGAUUAGUAGACAUGUGGAGAGAGAGCAUUAGGGUGAUAUGUGAAGGUUUGAUCAGAAACCCGAAAGACCAUAAGGCACAGAAUUUGGCGACAUGAUAUUAUGAAAAGCAGAGUAUAGAAAUAUCAACCAUAGAGAGUUAAAUUAUCAACAGUAUUUUUUUUGUGUGUGUGGCUCACCUUACAUAUAUAUAUUUUUCCCACCAGUAAAUGUGAUUUGGUUUAAAGGUAGUUAAAAUAGCUUAGACAAAGGUCAGCUGUUACCCACAAUGCAUAUUUCUUUCUCUCUUCCCUUUUAAUAUACAAGUAAUACUCAUUAUAAAAAAAUUUGGAAAAUAAAAAUUAUAAAUAAAAUUUACCCACAAUUCAAAAACUUAAAUGCAAAUGUUACAAAUAUGUUAGUCCAUUCCUAAAGCAGAGUUUUAAAAAAAUUCUGUUUGUGGUUAUCUAACCUCUGUGAAAUGAGGUUAAAUAAAGUAGGUAGCCCACUCUGAUUAGAAAAAAGAGAAGCAGAAGCAGAGGUCAUGUUGAUAUUCAGAGUUCACAUGGUAAUAAGCAUGUUUUGGUUUAAAAAUUAGAAUUGAUCACAAAAAAAUGUUGUAGUGGUCAGAUCAAUAGGGACAGGUAAAUGUUUUGAUUUCAAAUAUUGUCAAAUCUUAUCUCCCUAAGCAACUGAGCAAACAAACAAACCAAAAAGGCUAUAGUCCCACCCCAUUUUGGAAGUAGUAGCCUUGAAGGUAAGGGGCCAUUGAGAAACUAGCCUCAUUCUCAUAAACAGAAGCUAGAGUGGGAGGUGACAGUGGUGGCAGUGAAAUUGGUGGCCUGGACCUGCCAUAGUCCCAGCUGAGCCCCAGUCAAUGAGAAGACCACACUGAUGGAUGAGCCUAGAGGUUACAGCCUGCUUUUCAAGGUGAUAAUGAACUCACAGACUUCAGUACCACCUUCUGCUGGACAGUGUCAGGAUAUUAAUUGUUCCCUCCCAUAGCCCUGAAUGAAUACAAAGCCCUAAAUUGGUAAGGAAGUCUACUGGACUGAUAGGAAAUAUUUCUCAUUGCCUGGGAAAGGAAGAAUUGGUUAGAUGGUGUGAAAUUCAACCGUGGGACUCAUAUCUCUGGUAGGUUAUGCUGUUUCUAACAAAACCAUUGUGCACACUCAUAUCCUCUUUUACACCACCUUAACACAGAAUUCUGCUAAUGUAACUUACUAAGGUAAAUGUUUCACACAAAACCCAGUUUUGCAGACAUUUUAUUUUUUGAUGUUUUGAUUAUCACCUUUCACCUCACAGGGUUUUAGAGAGCUAGAAACUCUUUUUUUUUUCUUUUUUUGCAGUGCACAGACUUUCUGUUUCCCUCACUUUUCAUAUACAUUUUUGAAGAUGAUUGGCUAUGAAUCUAAUCUUGUUAGCACCAUGACCUUUCCACCACCAAGUUGUAAGAACUACCUGUUAGACCACUGCAUAAUACCAUUAGGAAGUAAAAGGCAUGGGGUAUAUGAAGUUAUCAGGCAAAAUAGUAUUUGUUCCCUAUUGAUAUAUAUCUAACAAAACAUUAUAUAAAAUACUUUCUACCUGCUUUAAA